CUCGGCGGCGCGGCCCCGACGGCGGAGCAGCCACCCCGGGCUUCCUCACCGGGCGGAAGGCUGAGAGGAAGAGAGGGCGUGAGGGGCGGACGACUACUUUUUUCUUUCUUUCUUUAGACUAAAAAAGUUAUUUUCGAGACAGGAGGCGGCAGGAGAGAGGAAGAGACGAGCGAUGGCGGCCUGGUCACAUCGCUCGGACCUCCCCAGCCGCCUCCGCCUCCAGCUCCGCAGCAUUCGAAGAUCUCAAAAGCUGCAUUUCCAGCUCCGAGGGGCGAAGAGAUGCAAGCGCCGUGCAGCACCCUUUAUAGUGCCACGAAAAGGAAGUGGCGUAGCUGGAGCGUGAUGGCCGACUCCAGCCAAUCCGAAUAUCGCACCAUUGUGACGCAAGACGGUUCGGAGCCGAAAGGGGCGGGAAAAGAGUCCAGGAGGCGGGUCCAGAGAUAGGGAAGAGAGGGAGGAGCUGACGUAAUCCGCUUGUAAACAAAUAAACCCGGAGUGGCGGCUGGAGACCCAGUUGCUUGUGUCGAGGGAGGGAGGGAGGGAACCGAGGGUGCGCGUGUGAAAGCUCCGCCCCCAGCCCUAGCUCCUCCUUCCCGCUUCAGCAGGUCCAGGCUCUGCGCCAGUGCAUCCUUCUGCGAGAGGGCGCUGCCUGGGCCCGCUUGCCCUGGAGUGUAAGUGCUGGGUAAAUAAGAACCGCCUGGCGCAGGCUGUGUCUACUCUUCGCGCCGCCUUCUCAGAUCGGGCUGCAUGUCCCCACUCCGUGUUUACAUCUCGUUCCCGCUCCGGGUCUCGGUGACUGGCUCCUCAAGCCGGAGACGCGUGUGGUGCGGCGCGAUGCGGGCGCCAGCGCUGUGUGUGCUGGCGGUGCGCUGCCUGAGUGCGGGGGAAAGUGGAGGGAACGGUCCUGCGGGGCGUUCUGUCCAAGAAAAAGGACUGCAGCCUCGGGGAGCCAGGGUCCCCUCGCAGACGAGCUGCCAACGCCGCGGAGCCAUUUCUGUUCCACCCUAGGGGAGGAGUAGGGGGAUAUCUUUGUAAAAGUUUAAUUGCAAAAUAAGUAGGUUAGUAAGGCCAUUUGUGGUUGCUGUUUCAGUAACUUCAGCAGUCAACGGGGAGAAGAGUGGAAACCUUACUGGAUGCGGACAGGAGAGCCAGUUACUGAAAGCAGAUACAACGCGGAUCCUGUAAAGAGUGAAAGGAGAAGACCACUUUUAGUUGCCUCCCUGCUAGCACCCUGACUUGCUCUGCUUGAGUAAGAAUCCAAGGACACAAGCUAAGACAUUUGCACUGGGUUUAGAUCUACUGCGAUUCAGAAAACACAAAAGAACUUGCAAUCAGAGGGUGACACAUAAUGAUUUUAGACAAAACUCAGUUUCUUCUUGUGGAAGCUAUUCAGAUUGUUUGGAGAGUGGGAGGAAAAAGGAGUGAAGCAUCGCUUAACAACAAAAGUAAUAAUGCAGGCAGAAUAUUAAAUGGAGAAGCCAGACUUGCAACACAUAGAAAAGAAAGCUAGUUCAGAAUGUUGAGAGACGUGGGAGCUGAUUGAUUGAAGGUGGCACUUAGAAGGUUGCCCUUUUUAAAGAUAAAGGCUGAUACUGUGACUCUGUCCCAGGGGACCUGAGUAAAGAACUCCUCAGAGAUGUGGGACCACUAUUCAGAACAAGAUUUGGAGAGCUGGGGCAGAGAAGAUUUUACCUUGGGGAUUUCUUCAGCUGCGAGUAGUAAAUUGGUUAUGGCUUAAUGAGUGAAGUUUGUCAAAUUUUAAGAUAGGAUGUUAUUACGCCUUUUAAAAGAAUGAGGUAGAGUAUAACAUCUGAUUUGGAGUUCUUUCCAGCAUUUUAAGGUCUUUAAAGAAAACAAAUUGGAGAAAAAUAAAUAUAGAUCAUGCUGUACAUAUA
rnacentral:antisense_RNA from 1 species